UGAAAAAAUUUUCUGGUAUCGUCAGAUAUGAAAAUUAUUUAUUACAAUCUGUUCUAGAAACUCGUACGUUAAUUGACAUGUUUUACGAAACAAAAAUUGGCUUUAUAGUGGGUUUUAUUGAAAACUAAUCUAUACUAAUAUUAUAAAGAGGAAAGAUUUGUUUGUUUGUUUGUUUGCAUUAAAUAGGCUUCGAAACUACUGAACCGAUUUGAAAAAUUCUUUCACUGUUGGGAAGCUACACCAUCCCCGGGGGACAUAGGCUAUUAUAUUAUAAUUAAUUUUGAAAUUUUUGUUAAAUACCCGUGUGAAGAUGGGGCGGAUUGCUAGUGUUAAAUAAUCUUCUUAAAGGAUUACAUAAAAAUAAUAUUUACUCUGAAAAUCAAUAUCUCAAACUCAAUUCUCUUGUAAGGAGACCAUUCAGCGAUCAUGUCUCUGUCGGAGAUUCUGAACACACUCUUUGGUCGAAAAUUAAAUAUGGACAUAUCAAGCUAUAUCAGAAAAUUUUUUUCACAGGAGAGUGUAAUUACAUAAAUUUGUAUAAAUUUUUCUAUUUUGAUUGCAGAUUAAAAGGACACAUAUAAUAAUAUAUAAACUCGCAGCUGAAUAUCCGAAUCAUAUGAAUAUAAAACAUAAAAUAGAAGAAUUGUCCACGGAAUUGUUCCAUAAAAAUGUAGAUUUCAGCGCUUAUACCUCUCGACAACAGUUUUCUGACAUCGGUUUUUAAAACGGCACUAACUUAUGUUAUCAUUUUACUGCAAACAGUGGAUUAAAAAUAUAUAAAGCCAGAAAUUUAACUGU